CCUACGGGAGGCAGCAGUGAGGAAUAUUGGUCAAUGGACGCAAGUCUGAACCAGCCAAGUCGCGUGAGGGAAGACGGUCCUAUGGAUUGUAAACCUCUUUUGUCGGGGAGCAACGAGGCCACGUGUGGCCGAAGUGAGAGUACCCGAAGAAACAGCAUCGGCUAACUCCGUGCCAGCAGCCGCGGUAAUACGGAGGAUGCGAGCGUUAUCCGGAUGUAUUGGGUUUAAAGGGUGCGUAGGCGGAACAUUAAGUCAGCGGUAAAAUCGAGGGGCUCAACCCCUUUAAGCCGUUGAAACUGGUGAGCUUGAGUGGGCGAGAAGUAUGCGGAAUGCGUGGUGUAGCGGUGAAAUGCAUAGAUAUCACGCAGAACUCCGAUUGCGAAGGCAGCAUACCGGCGCCCGACUGACGCUGAGGCACGAAAGCGUGGGGAUCGAACAGGAUUAGAUACCCCAGUAGUC
rnacentral:rRNA from 1 species